rnacentral:tRNA from 1 species
UCCAGGGUAGCCUAGUGGACAUGGCAUCUGCCCGGUAAGCGGAACAUUGUGGGUUCGAUUCCCACCCCUGGAC